rnacentral:rRNA from 1 species
GAUGAACGCUGGCGGCGUGCUUAACACAUGCAAGUCGAACGGAAAGGCCCAAGCUUGCUUGGGUACUCGAGUGGCGAACGGGUGCGUAACACGUGGGUGAUCUGCCCUGCACUUCGGGAUAAGCCUGGGAAACUGGGUCUAAUACCGGAUAGGACGAUGGUUUGGAUGCCAUUGUGGAAAGUUUUUUCGGUGGGGGAUGAGCUCGCGGCCUAUCAGCUUUUUGUUGGGGUCAUGGCCUACCAAGGCGUCGACGGGUAGCCGGCCUGAGAGGGGGUACGGCCAGAAUGGAACUGAGAUAGGGGCCAGAGUCCGGAGGGAGGCAGCAGUGGGGAAUGUGGGACAAUGGGCGAAAGCCUGAGGCAGGGAGGCCGCGUGGGGGAUGAGGGCUUUUGGGGUGAAAACACCUUACGCGGGGGACAAAGCGUUUUUGUGACGGUACCUGGAGAAGAAGCACCGGCUAACUACGUG